GACGAACGCUGGCGGCGUGCCUAAUACAUGCAAGUAGAACGCUGAAGCGAGGAGCUUACUCUUCUUGGAUGAGUUGCGAACGGGUGAGUAACGCGUAGGUAACCUGCCUUGUGGCGGGGGAUAACUAUUGGAAACGAUAGCUAAUACCGCAUAACAAUGGAUGACACAUGUCAUUUAUUUGAAAGGGGCAAUUGCUCCACUACAAAAUGGACCUGCGUUGUAUUAGCUAGUAGGUGAGGUAAUGGCUCACCUAGGCGACGAUACAUAGCCGACCUGAGAGGGUGAUCGGCCACACUGGGACUGAGACACGGCCCAGACUCCUACGGGAGGCAGCAGUAGGGAAUCUUCGGCAAUGGGGGCAACCCUGACCGAGCAACGCCGCGUGAGUGAAGAAGGUUUUCGGAUCGUAAAGCUCUGUUGUAAGUCAAGAACGGGUGUGAGAGUGGAAAGUUCACACUGUGACGGUAGCUUACCAGAAAGGAACGGCUAACUACGUG
rnacentral:rRNA from 1 species